AAAAAGGCAAACCCUAGAUUUCCGUAUCUAACAUUUGACUGUCUGUUUUAUAUGAAAUUUUUUUAUAAUUAGUAUUUUCAUUGUUGUUAGAUGAUAAAACAUGAUUAAUAUUUUAUGCGUGACUUGUCUUUUUAAUUUUUUUAUAUUUUUUUAAAUAAGACGGAUGGUCAAACGUUGGACACGGAAAUCCAAG
rfam:Oryza sativa Japonica Group DNA, chromosome 4, cultivar: Nipponbare, complete sequence.